UGGGGAAUUUUGGACAAUGGGCGCAAGCCUGAUCCAGCAAUGCCGCGUGUAGGAUGAAGGCCUUCGGGUUGUAAAGCUCUUUCAGGUGGAAAGAAAACGCAUAGGUUAAUACCUUGUGCGGAUGACGGUACCAUCAGAAGAAGCACCGGCUAACUACGUGCCAGCAGCCGCGGUAAUACGUAGGGUGCGAGCGUUGAUCGGAAUUACUGGGCGUAAAGCGUGCGCAGGCGGUUAUGUAAGACAGAUGUGAAAUCCCCGGGCUCAACCUGGGAACUGCGUUUGUGACUGCAUAACUAGAGUACGGCAGAGGGAGGUGGAAUUCCGUGUGUAGCAGUGAAAUGCGUAGAUAUGCGGAGGAACACCGAUGGCGAAGGCAGCCUCCUGGGCCAGUACUGACGCUCAUGCACGAAAGCGUGGGGAGCAAACA
rnacentral:rRNA from 1 species